rnacentral:rRNA from 1 species
UGCUAGUCGCGUGCCUCAGCUAAAACGAGGCACGGCGCACAGCUCAGUAGCACGUGGCUAAUCUGCCCUUGGGACGAGAAUACCCCCGGGAAACUGGGGCUAAUUCACGAUAGGCGAAGAACACUGGAAUGUGUCUUCACCUAAAAGACCCUACGUUAUGCUCGUAGAAGUCGCCUAAGGAUGAGGCCGCGACCGAUCAGGUUGUUGGUGAGGUAAUGGCUCACCAAGCCUUUUACCGGUGCGGGCCGUGAGAGCGGGAGCCCGGAGAUGGGUACUGAGACAAGGACCCAGGCCCUACGGGGCGCAGCAGUCGCGAAACCUUUGCAAUACACGAAAGUGUGACAGGGCUAUCCCGAGUGCCAUCCGCUGAGGAAGGCUUUUACCCAGUCUAGAAAGCUGGGGGAAUAAGGAGAGGGCAAGUCUGGUGUCAGCCGCCGCGGUAAUACCAGCUCUUCGAGUGGUGUGGGUGUUUAUUGGGCCUAAAGCAUCCGUAGCUGGCUAGGUAAGUCCCUUGUAAAAUCCACCGAAUUAAUCGUUGGAUCGCGGGGGAUACUGCUUGGCUAGGGGACGAGAGAGGCAGACGGUAUUUUCGGGGUAGGGGUGAAAUCCUAUAAUCCCGGGAAGACCACCAGUGGCGAAGGCUGUCUGCUAGAACGCGCCCGACGGUGAGGGAUGAAAGCUGGGGGAGCGAACCGGAUUAGAUACCCGGGUAGUCCCAGCUGUAAACGAUGCAGACUAGGUGUUUGGACGGCCACGUGCCGUUCUAGUGCCGCAGGAAAGCUGUUAAGUCUGCCGCCUGGGGAGUACGAUCGCAAGAUUGAAACUUAA